rnacentral:lncRNA from 1 species
UAAAAGGAACGUAAAUCAAGUUUUGUGACAUAGAGUACCCACAAAUCUAAUACCCAACUCACAAUCCUACGUACGAACCAUGCUUGCUGACCAACAUUUAACAAUAAUAAACCCUGCUAAACCUCAACGCAAGACAGAUUCAAAAGUGGAAUAAAAAUAAGCACAUAAGCCUAAUUCUAACACGACUGCUAGCAACAACAGAUGUUAAAAUCAUAAUAAAGCCACAUUUAGCUAUCCACAAAAUGUAAACACUCGUUUACAUCACAUCCCUAGUAAUUACAUAAGAGUCGUGAAUUGAAAAGUAAAGAAGAACAGAAGAUUUAACAAUAUGGCAUCAAACUUCACUUCAUUCAAACUUGCAUUUUGAGUUAUUCGUCAAGUGAUGUCCAUGGAGUUUUGAAGCAUACCUGGUACAGCAAAUGAACAAUGAAAAUUUGAGGUCAAGAGGGAUCAAACAUUUGUACCCCAGGAACAGCAAUUGCAACAAUUAAAACCCAAAGAAAUCGACUCAGGACCCAAAGAAUGAAGCAAAUAAUUCAAACAAAAAUUGAUUUCUAAUCCAGCAAUCAAAAUUCGAACUAGAAAUGAGCCAAAACACUUAAAACACCCUCUGAUUUAAACUAUUUUCACCCUUAAUUGCUCAGAACUAGCUCAGAAUCAAUAUCCCAAGAAUUCCCAAAGAUUUUCCAAUAUAAAAGUGAUUUUUCUGUGUAUUUUAUCCGUCUGAUUAUGUAUAUAUAUUUUCUCUCUCUUCUUUUCAGAUUUUUUUCC